AUGCUGACAAACUUGGCGUUCAUGUACAAGGGACACAAGAUAAAUAUUGAGUACAAAUAUGCACCAUUUCUUGAUACACUCCGUGUUCAUUUCACAAAGAAGAAUCAAUGCCCUCUAGACUUCAUAAGUGCGCUUCCUAAGCUUCCUAAGCUGGAAACGUUGAUCUUGCAAUUUUCUGGGCCUGUACAAGUAUCCCGUGCGCUGCGGCACACUUUCAGGUUUGCUAAUUUCAAGAUGAUCGUCUUCUUUCUGGUGAAAUCUUGGAAAGAGUGCAUUUGCUCGCUUGCGUAUCUCCUUAAAGCAGCUCCAUCACUCGAAUACUUCGGGGUGCAUGGGUUUUCCAAGCUGAAGGAACAACCUAGUGAGCUCAACGUGACAUGGCCCGAGGAUCUGACUUUCGCGAGGCUCCACAUUAUCGUGAUCAAAGGGUUUAGCGGGGAACCGGAACUGAUGGAGCUCCUCUACUUUCUGCUGAGAAGGGCGCCCGCCCUGGAGAGCUUGCAACUCGAGACGCGUGCAUAUGAGCCAUUUGUCUUCAGGAAGGAGAAGCACAAGUCGGAAGACGAAGAAAGGUGCCGUUACGCUACCGAGAUGGCCUCGACCCACCUGGCUCCUAAGGUUCCGUCCACCGUGGCGUUCAGCAUCACCUGA
rnacentral:rRNA from 1 species